rnacentral:rRNA from 1 species
GACGAACGCUGGCGGCGUGCCUAAUACAUGCAAGUCGAACGCUUCUUUCCUCCCGAGUGCUUGCACUCAAUUGGAAAGAGGAGUGGCGGACGGGUGAGUAACACGUGGGUAACCUACCCAUCAGAGGGGGAUAACACUUGGAAACAGGUGCUAAUACCGCAUAACAGUUUAUGCCGCAUGGCAUAAGAGUGAAAGGCGCUUUCGGGUGUCGCUGAAGGAUGGACCCGCGGUGCAUUAGCUAGUUGGUGAGGUAACGGCUCACCAAGGCCACGAUGCAUAGCCGACCUGAGAGGGUGAUCGGCCACACUGGGACUGAGACACGGCCCAGACUCCUACGGGAGGCAGCAGUAGGGAAUCUUCGGCAAUGGACGAAAGUCUGACCGAGCAAGGCCGCGUGAGUGAAGAAGGUUUUCGGAUCGUAAAACUCUGUUGUUAGGGAAGAACAAGGACGUUAGUAACUGAACGUCCCCUGACGGUAUCUAACCAGAAAGCCACGGCUAACUACGUG